AAGUCUUAAAGCUGCCAAGUUUGAAGACCUGAGUUGUAUCAUUAUCAGGAACCCCAACUUACAACAUGGCUAAAGGAUUGACUUAAAAAGGCUCACGGAGGGAAGCUAAUUCUCCCAACAGCUGCUCACUACGGUGCCUCUGAAUAAUCAAAGAAGUGACUGUAGGUGAAGACAAGAUCACCUUCAUCAUUUGAUGUCACAAGCUCAUUUACAUCCAUAGAUCCAAAAUUAGCCAAUGAUCCACGACAGCGCUGACCUAACCAAAGACACCAACAUUGAAAUAACCAGCAAUGUGGACCUUGCCAAACUUUGCCUAACCUCCUACCUUUACUGUAGUUUGGCUGACACACAAACAUGAACGGAAUAAGGCAAGCCACUCUUAGUGUGUGAGAACAAAGCCUAUUCCCUACGAGAACUGAUAUUACCUAGUUUGGCAAUGAGAUAUCUGCAAGAAAAUGGCGAAGCUCAGAAAGCACCGAAGACUCCACAGUUCAACCCUGAGUUACAGAUAUUCUCUUCCAUUGAUAUCUAUGGCUGAUUUGCUCCAAGUUGACAGCUGAUUUUCCCUGAUGCAGCCGCUUCAGAUGAAGAAACAGGUGCAGCUUGUAGUAGCCUUUAACAGGAUGAAAAGGCAACCGAGUUUGACCACUUUUUUAGCAAGAAAACAGGAUCGGAACCAGAUACAACACGAUCCAUGUUGGGUGAUCCAAAACCAUCACAAGCACCGCUGUAAGUGUCACCCUUUGAACUUGGAGAAAACAGCAAGUCAGUGAUUCCAAAAUCGAAAGUAAAUCUUCCUCAUUGCUGGAAAUACCUUAAAAGACAAAUAGCACUUUUAUUUUCUUAUGUCAUUAGGGCAAAGAAGUGACGUCGGCUUGACCACGCCCAUCCAGUCACAUGCCUACCAAGCCACGCCCACAAAACAGGUAGUAAAAAAUGUUGAAUCCCAUCACUGGUGUGGGAGCCUUCUUGGAACUGUUGAAAGGACUACGUUGUAGACAGGAUGUGUUGGAGGUGAUAAAAUGUGGGCGGCCGGGACAUCCGUGGUGCUGACCCUUCUGAAAAGAUAUUGGUAAAAAGGAGCCUUUUAUCAAAAUACCCCCAAGGAAAUCUCUGGGAAUCUGCAUUUGGCUGAAAGUGGACUUCAAGCCAAAGGUUGCUGGCUCUUGGAAGAAUGCCAAGGGGAAGACAUGGAACAGAAGGGUCUCUGCCAACAAAUAUUUGGGCAUUAAGUUAAUGCUUGAAAAAUUAUAGACUCCGCUGAUUAACUUACAAAGCCGGGAGAUGUGUUUCUUCCAAGCAGCCAUAUUCUUGCAUGCUUCUAAAUUGUUAAGCAGUUAUUUGCUUGAAUAAUCUAGCGUUCUCGCCAACUGCCUUUGCAGUUUUGCUGUACUGUGGUUAAAAGCAGCUUACUUAAUAAAUCAUACUGGACAUUAGUCCCACAA